rnacentral:rRNA from 1 species
UACGUAGGGUGCAAGCGUUGUCCGGAAUUAUUGGGCGUAAAGAGCUCGUAGGCGGUCUGUCGCGUCGGCUGUGAAAACUCGGGGCUCAACUCCGAGCUUGCAGUCGAUACGGGCAGGCUAGAGUUCGGCAGGGGAGACUGGAAUUCCUGGUGUAGCGGUGAAAUGCGCAGAUAUCAGGAGGAACACCGGUGGCGAAGGCGGGUCUCUUGGCCGAUACUGACGCUGAGGAGCGAAAGCGUGGGGAGCGAACAGG